GGCUACCGCGCAGCAGUUCUUCAGUGGCAUGCUUUACGUCUCCCCUCUCGCAACUAAAGCUGCCAGUUGAAGAACUGUUGGCCGUGGCU